rnacentral:tRNA from 1 species
GGGCCCGUGGUGUAACGGACAGCACAACAGGCUUCGGACCUGUUUGUUUGGGUUCGAAAGCAGAAGGAGAGGAAACAACAAGGGGUCGCUCUUGACAAUAAAUCUCACCUUCCCUCGAAACUCCCAACGGGCUCG